UGCCCUCAGGAAGAACAGUGGGCGACCUCUUGCUGAAGGCACCCCUGGAGGAAGCUCGUGUGACCCAGCCACCCCCAGGACACAAGGGCCUAUAUAAGAGGAGGAUGAUGAAGACACCUUGUCAGCUGCUACAGAGAGGGAAGAGACAGAAAGGCCUGUUGAGAGCAAUGCUGGAAUGUACAGUGAGGAAGGUGGUGCAUCCAGCUCCACAGCACAACUUGCCUCAGUAAGAAGUUGUUCAUCAUUGGCCCAUGACUUAAAAUGAAACUGGGUAGUCCUGGCACUGUGAAAUUCAAGUUCAUAUUUUAGUGUUCCUACAUUCUACUAUGCUACUGUUGGGUGAAGGAGAGGGAGAGGGAGAGGGGGAAGGCAUGUCCAGAGGCAUCGGGAGAGGAGGAAGGAUAGGAGUGUAGAGGGGAGAGUCGCAACUUUGACUGUUGGCACUAUGGCUGGUAAAGGGAGAGAGCUGGCUGAUCUGGAGAGAGAGAAGGUAGAUAUACUGUGUGUGCAAGAGACCGGGUGGAAGAGGAGUAAGACCAGGAGCGUUCAAACUCUUCUACGCAUAGGUAUUCCGUCUUGCUUCUACUGACUUUCAUUCCUCUUCUCUCCAAUGCAUUUCCAAUCCACCUCUCCAGCCGUGGUGCGAAUGAGAGGAGAGGUGGGGUUGGGGUAAUUCUGAAGGAAGAGUGUGUAAAGAGCGUGCUAGGGGUGAAGAGAGUGUUGGACAGAGUGAUGAGUAUGAAGCUGGAAAUCGAAGGUGUGAUGAUGAAUGUUAUCAGCACAUAUGCCCCGCCAGUUGGGUGUGAGACGGUAUCUCCCCUCUGCCCGGCACAAUGUUCCAUAAACAUGA